CACCAAAUAGUAAUAUACUUAAAAACCACUGCCUUUUAAGCAGUGGGCCCGGGGUUCGAAUCCCCGCCUAGUAA
rnacentral:tRNA from 1 species